rnacentral:lncRNA from 1 species
UUCCUUUUUAAUUUAUGCAAGCUUCUCAAGAAAUAUUUUCCCUCAAAAUGGGUCCUAAAUGAACGGUCUUUUGAGCGUGACGCGAUUUAUCAAAUGACGUCACUGUUUGGCAUGUGACUUAAAAUCGUCGAGUUUUCAUAUUUUCUGCCACACGAAAUGGAACUAACAAAAAGAACUCAAUGAAAUACCACACAAAACACA